CUCUUCGUAUCAGCCCCUGUUUCGAAUCAGCCGAGACACACCUUACGUGGAAAGUAAUUUGUUUUUCCCUCCUUCUCGCUAUUGCACAUUCCUCUCUCACGCAUUUGAAAUUCUGAGUCCCGUCGCCAUCCUCUUCCCCCGCCCGCCCGCCAGCCCCCCCACCCCCAUCCCCGCGUCACCCAUUCUCUUCAAAGUUGCCCCGUCGCCAUCGACCCUCCCUCUACCUAGCACCCCCUCCAUUCCUUUAGAUUUCUCCCAAAAUGUAAAUCAGCGACCUGCAAUAGAAAGAAUCCAAGCGUACAGACAUGGCUCGUACCAAAUGGGGUUUCUGUGUUUGAGCAGGCGACUCAAAGCUACUGCUUUCUACUAGAGGGUCCUGUGCCCAUUCAGUCUAAUCUCUAUGUUCCUUGCUAGAUAUCUAGAUUUGUGUGAAAGACUCAUCUUAAAUGGGAGUUUAAAUGAGUAACUCACGUUCAGUUUGCUUUUAGUUGCUAGUAUUGGUAGAACAGAUACAAUUUGAUUAUGGAGCUGUUGGCUAGAGUUCUUUGAAGUUUUGACCACCAGCAGACUGAAAGGUACAGUGACACGGGGGAUAUCGUUCAGAAGCUUACAAGAAAUAAUGUAGUUUGGAAGAGGUGGGAUGACGUGUUGUGAUGCGAGUAUGAAGUUCGGAAAAAGGAAAAUAAAGUAAGAGAGAGAGAGAGAGGCAAAUCUUUAGAAGCAAAAUGAAAAAUUAUUUUGUUUGUAUUGAGUUGUAUCAAUUGUAAUAGUUUUUGCAUGGUUCGAAUAAAUUGUAACAUGUAAAUAACUGGGUAGCAUCUACUUUGUAUGUAUCAAAUGUACAUCCCACUAUGUAAUGGUACCUACCCUUAAAUAGUAGUGCCAGCCAGUCCUCAGUAAUAAAGCUGGUGUUGAUUUAUUUAUGUACUUCUGGUUUGAGUUUGACGAAACAAUAGAAACAUUGGAAUAUUAUUAAAAUAAAAUAUCCUUGCUUGAU